GACGAACGCUGGCGGCGUGCUUAACACAUGCAAGUCGAACGGAAAGGCCCUGCUUUUGUGGGGUGCUCGAGUGGCGAACGGGUGAGUAACACGUGAGUAACCUGCCCUUGACUUUGGGAUAACUUCAGGAAACUGGGGCUAAUACCGGAUAGGAGCUCCUGCUGCAUGGUGGGGGUUGGAAAGUUUCGGCGGUUGGGGAUGGACUCGCGGCUUAUCAGCUUGUUGGUGGGGUAGUGGCUUACCAAGGCUUUGACGGGUAGCCGGCCUGAGAGGGUGACCGGCGAGAGGGGGGGGGGGGGAGGGCCGGGAGGGUUGCGGGGGGGAGGGGGGGGGAAGGUGGCACAGUGGGCGGAGGCCGGAUGGAGCAACGCCGGGUGGGGGAUGACGGCCUGCGGGUGGGAAACCGCUGUCGCCUGUGACGAAGCGUGAGUGACGGUAAUGGGUAAAGAAGCACCGGCUAACUACGUG
rnacentral:rRNA from 1 species